rnacentral:rRNA from 1 species
AGUGAACGCUGGCGGUAGGCCUAACACAUGCAAGUCGAACGGCAGCACAGUAAGAGCUUGCUCUUACGGGUGGCGAGUGGCGGACGGGUGAGGAAUACAUCGGAAUCUACUUUUUCGUGGGGGAUAACGUAGGGAAACUUACGCUAAUACCGCAUACGACCUACGGGUGAAAGCAGGGGAUCUUCGGACCUUGCGCGAUUGAAUGAGCCGAUGUCGGAUUAGCUAGUUGGCGGGAUAAAGGCCCACCAAGGCGACGAUCCGUAGCUGGUCUGAGAGGAUGAUCAGCCACACUGGAACUGAGACACGGUCCAGACUCCUACGGGAGGCAGCAGUGGGGAAUAUUGGACAAUGGGCGCAAGCCUGAUCCAGCCAUACCGCGUGGGCGAAGAAGGCCUUCGGGUUGUAAAGCCCUUUUGUUGGGAAAGAAAAGCAGCAGGUUAAUACCCCGCUGUUCUGACGGUACCCAAAGAAUAAGCACCGGCUAACUUCGU